AGCAGCCGCGGUAAUUCCAGCUCCAAUAGCGUAUAUUAAAGUUGUUGCAGUUAAAAAGCUCGUAGUUGAAUUUCGGGGUCAGUAGGUUGGUCAUGCCUCUGGUACGUACUGGUCUAACUGAUUCCUCCUUCCUGAUGAACCGUAAUGCCAUUAAUUUGGUGUUGCGGGGAAUCUGGACUGUUACUUUGAAAAAAAUUAGAGUGUUUAAAGCAGGCUAACGCUUGAAUACAUUAGCAUGGAAUAAUGAAAUAGGACGUUCGAUCCUAUUUUGUUGGUUUCUAGGAUUGACGUAAUGAUUAAUAGGGAUAGUUGGGGGCAUUAGUAUUCAAUUGUCAGAGGUGAAAUUCUUGGAUUUAUUGAAGACUAACUACUGCGAAAGCAUUUGCCAAGGAUGUUUUCAUUAAUCAAGAACGAAAGUUAGGGGAUCGAAGACGAUCAGAUACCGUCGUAGUCUUAACCAUAAAACUAUGCCGACUAGGGAUCGGAUGAUGUUAAUUUUAUAAUGACUCAUUCGGCGCCU
rnacentral:rRNA from 1 species